UACAGAGGUCUCAAGCGUUGUUCGGAAUCACUGGGCGUAAAGGGUGCGUAGGCGGCACGGUAAGUCAGAGGUGAAAUCCCGGAGCUCAACUUCGGAAUUGCCUCCGAUACUGCCGUGCUUGAGGACUGGAGAGGAGAUUGGAAUUCACAGUGGAGCAGUGAAAUGCGUAGAUAUUGUGAGGAACACUAGUGGCGAAGGCGAAUCUCUGGACAGUUCCUGACGCUGAGGCACGAAGGCCAGGGGGAGCAAACGGG
rnacentral:rRNA from 1 species